GGGGUUGUGGCUCUGUGGUAGAGUGCUCACCUUGCAUGCAUGAGGCACUGAGUUCAAUCCUCAGCAACACAU
rnacentral:tRNA from 1 species